UGGGGAAUAUUGCACAAUGGGCGCAAGCCUGAUGCAGCCAUGCCGCGUGUAUGAAGAAGGCCUUCGGGUUGUAAAGUACUUUCAGCGGGGAGGAAGGGAGUAAAGUUAAUACCUUUGCUCAUUGACGUUACCCGCAGAAGAAGCACCGGCUAACUCCGUGCCAGCAGCCGCGGUAAUACGGAGGGUGCAAGCGUUAAUCGGAAUUACUGGGCGUAAAGCGCACGCAGGCGGUUUGUUAAGUCAGAUGUGAAAUCCCCGGGCUCAACCUGGGAACUGCAUCUGAUACUGGCAAGCUUGAGUCUCGUAGAGGGGGGUAGAAUUCCCGGUGUAGCGGUGAAAUGCGUAGAGAUCUGGAGGAAUACCGGUGGCGAAGGCGGCCCCCUGGACGAAGACUGACGCUCAGGUGCGAAAGCGUGGGGAGCAAACAGG
rnacentral:rRNA from 1 species